rnacentral:rRNA from 1 species
AUACGAAGGGCCCAAGCGUUGCGCGGAAUUACUGGGCUUAAAGGGUGCGUAGGCGGACCCGCAAGUGCUUUGUGAAAUCCCACGGCUCAACCGUGGAACUGCUUGGCAUACUGCGGGUCUUGAGGUCGGUAGAGGUCGCCGGAACUCUAGGUGUAGCAGUGAAAUGCGUAGAUAUCUAGAGGAACGCCCAUGGCGAAGGCAGGCGGCUGGGCCGAUUCUGACGCUGAGGCACGAAAGCGUGGGUAGCGAACGGGAUUAGAAACCCCGGUAGUCC